GUGCCAGCAGCCGCGGUAAUACAGAGGGUGCGAGCGUUGUCCGGAAUCACUGGGCGUAAAGGGCGCGUAGGUGGCCUGGUAAGUAGGGGGUGAAAUCUCGUGGCUCAACUGCGAGGCUGCCUCCUAAACUGUCAGGCUCGAGCAGAGUAGAGGCAGGUGGAAUUCCCGGUGUAGCGGUGGAAUGCGUAGAGAUCGGGAAGAACAUCGGUGGCGAAGGCGGCCUGCUGGGCUCUUGCUGACACUGAGGCGCGACAGCGUGGGGAGCAAACAGGAUUAGAAACCCCCGUAGUCC
rnacentral:rRNA from 1 species